UUGAUAUGGGCCAGAAGGGGCCUGCUGCGCCUACUGGUAGGCUCAGAAGGCUGUUAUCGUCCAUCCAAAUGGUUAAUCACCGCACGCAAGUAUGACGGUGAAAUUACCACUGGCGUACCAGCAGGGGCGAUCGUUUCCCCAACGCCAUCAACUCCACGCGGACCAAUGACCAGCGAAUUAGUGCAUUAAAAGACGGAUUUUAGAUGACGUCAAGACACAUACAGUUACAUCGGAUCACACACUCCAGCAGCUCUUUUAAGAAGCCAUCUCUUGUAAAGCUGCUAGAAUUAACAGGGAACUUGGACUUGAAGCUCCCAAUGCUGGUCUUGAAGAAGCUGUCAAGGAGGCUGAACAAGUCAUUCAAAGCUGAAAGUGAAGACCAGAGGAAGGCCUGUCAUGGGAUUUGAAUUAGGCCAUAUUGUCCGUUUACGGAGAACACCAAAAGCUGCAAAGGCAAAAAUUUCCAAUGGAUUUCUCACAGAUUGCUUGGUCCUUCUCCAUCAGCUCUCUACAAUAUCAGUCCUUCCAAAAAUGUCCACAUCUCUCUCUCAUGUGGCACAUCUGCUCUCGCUCCUUUAUUGCCAACUUCCAGUCUUAGCAAAAUUAUAAUUGUCUAAAAAAAAAAUAUAACUGUUAACUUUUUUAAUUGUUCCUGCAUUUAGUCACAAUAGAAGCAAACAGUGAUUACAGGAGAAUAAUAAUUGUAAUAUUUAAUUUAUUUAAUUUUAUUUAUUUAUUUUUUUUUUUUUAUUAAAAGCAAGAAAAUAAUAAUUUCAACUGGAGCCUCGAAGCUCCCAGUUUGUAAAAUAUUAAUUGGCAUUUUA